AGUCAGCGCCAGGCGCUUACCGAGGAGGGACGUAUCGCUCGCUGUUGCGCCGCGUAAACUCGCCGGAGUUCGAAAAAUAUAGCGCAACCUACGCAUCUAACACGUUUUGAUACUAGAUAAUGAAAGCAUAUUUAAUUCAGACUAUCAGACUCAAUUGAAUACCAGUACAAAUAAUAUGGAAAAUGAAGAUACAAUACAUGGAAGACGAAUUAUAGAUUUUAGUUUUUUUAUAAAUCAAUUACUUAUAAUUGAUAAACAUGGUGAAAAGUUUGGUUGUCGAUUAAAUAAUUUAAAAAUUGUAAACGAUUACUUGUUUAUUGUAACUCAAUCGAGCUAUUCUAGGUUUUAUAAUUCAUCGGUACAAAUAAUAUUUCAUAAACUAUAAAAACAAUAAAUUAUUUCGGAAAAAAGUG